GAGGGUAUAGCUCAGUGGUAGGGCACAAGCUUAGCAUACGCAGGUCCUGGGUUCAAUCCUCAGUACCUCCA
rnacentral:tRNA from 1 species